rnacentral:misc_RNA from 1 species
CGAGUAUCGAAAGUAACAUGAAAGUACGGAAAUUUGAACAAUCAAGAUAGAUGACAUUGAGACGCGCUGGCAAUCCAAUCCAGAUAUAGCUGCAUCAUUCUAGCUACAAUGUUAGAAUGGAGACUUACAGUCGUUUUGGAGCAAGCACACUUCCUUCUGGUCAAGGAGGAUUACAUAUAUCUGAUGCCGCACUUUUUACUAGAAGAAGGUACCUUCAGGUGGCUGAGCGAUCUUCCGGUUGUGCUGUGCAGCCAUCUCCUUCCUCAGUUGAGUGAGUAUGUAUUCCAUGGUGUAGUCACGCUGCCAAUUUGCCAACAUAGCGAACUUCUUCGGGUCAACCACUCCAGUCUCAUGGUUCACGCAUGUCAUGUUG